UACGAACUGUGCGAACGUUAUUCGGAAUCACUGGGCUUACAGGGUGCGUAGGCGGCCGACCAGGUCAGGUGUGAAAUCCCCCGGCUCAACCGGGGAAUGGCACUUGAAACCGGCCGGCUGGAGUCAGCUAGAGGCGUGCGGAACUUCCAGUGGAGCGGUGAAAUGCGUUGAUAUUGGAAGGAACACCGGAGGCGAAAGCGGCACGCUGGGGCUGCACUGACGCUGAGGCACGAAAGCCAGGGGAGCGAACAGG
rnacentral:misc_RNA from 1 species